GCGCAGCAGGCGAGAACCUUCGCAAUGCGGGAACCGCGACGAGGGGACUCCCGGUGCCUACGCUCAGCGUAGGCUGUUCCCGAGCCUAGAAAGCUCGGGGAGUAAGGGCUGGGUAAGACGGGUGCCAGCCGCCGCGGUAAUACCCGCAGCCCGAGUGGUGGCCACUAUUAUUGGGCCUAAAGCGUCCGUAGCCGGCCCGGUAAAUGCCUGGGUAAAUCGUGAGGCCUAACCUCACGAAUUCCGGGUAGACUGCCGGGCUAGGGACCGGAGGAGGGAGAGGGUACUCCAGGGGUAGGGGUGAAAUCCUGUAAUCCCUGGAGGACCACCGGUGGCGAAGGCGCUCUCCUAGGACGGGUCCGACGGUGAGGGACGAAAGCCAGGGGAGCGAACCGGAUUAGAUACCCCUGUAGU
rnacentral:rRNA from 1 species